GCUGCCUCUGGGCAUAUUUAUGUUACAGCCUCACUGGCUUGCCUCCGCCACGAGCGCGUAGUACAGUUUGGUGUGAGACGGACGAGGUACAAAGCUGAUGUAAAUCUCCUCUGGCACAGGGCUCUUGAGCAUAAUUUAAAACGAUCACUCCGGCUCUUGCACACUUUGAACUCAUCUUGACAUGGUUUGUUGCCUCCGGAUAUAUUGCAGGACACUGCAAGCCGGUGUUAUAAUGAAGCAUCUGUGAACGCGUCAUUUCUGGGAUCUGCAGCUGGACUGGCCUGUAGAUGACAGCCAAAAAAAAUCCGUCCAUAUAGAACGGGAAUUUGAAUCGUCUGCUGUGGGUCAGCUCUCUUCUCAGGAGGAGGAGAAUGGCAGCCACAGAAGAAAUUCUACUUUUGAGCAUACUGCUUAAGGAUACGGAUCAGGAAGACAAUGGACUGCAGGGGAUUUAGAGUGGAUAUUGAGAUUUCUGUAGUACUUUAAACUUAACCAGUCCAUCAGGGCUCGCUGACUAUUCUCUCCACAUGAAAUGGCAAGUUAUAAUGCACAUCAAAACGCCUCUGUACUGCUGCUUAUUGGUCCUUCCUCCUCCUCCACCGUCAGACUGCAAAGGGCUGAAAGUAGUUGCCUAAGGCUACGGAUACCAUCGAUUACAGGGUUGUAAUUAGGAGUCUUAGCCUGCUGGUCAUUCUUUUGGUCUCUCUUAUCUUGAUUUUUCAGGCUAAGACCCCAUCUGAGGUGCUCUUCAGAAAACCCAGGUCAAGUUUUUAAAGUCUUAGAAAUCUGGGAAAGUUAAUGUCUAGUCCCAGAUUUGGUAUUUAAAUCCAUUUCUUAUCACAUCGGCAUCAAACCAAGAAGAUGCACCACACUGAGACCA